UAUGAAGGGGGCUAGCGUUGCCCGGAAUCACUGGGCGUAAAGCGCACGUAGGCGGCUUCUUAAGUCAGGGGUGAAAUCCUGGAGCUCAACUCCAGAACUGCCUUUGAUACUGAGGAGCUCGAGUCCGGGAGAGGUGAGUGGAACUCCGAGUGUAGAGGUGAAAUUCGUAGAUAUUCGGAAGAACACCAGUGGCGAAGGCGGCUCACUGGCCCGGUACUGACGCUGAGGUGCGAAAGCGUGGGAGCAAACAGG
rnacentral:rRNA from 1 species